ACUUUUCCGGAGUGGGUUUUGGGUUUAGGUUGCUUGUCUCAUACUUGUGCUAUAAAAGCGGUAUAACUAGUGAGAUUACGCGGAAAGGAAUUAGCAUCCCAGAAAGUGAAGCUACAAAGGUAAAAGUGAAGCCACUGACACAGUGAUAAGCCAUUAAGAAAUUGUUCGAGUCCAAACAAAGAUUCCCAGUUCCCACUACGAACGACUUUCUUUGUUUGGUCUGCGUUCUCAGCCUGAGGUCUUAUCUAUUAAAUCAUCAUCUCUCUGCGACUUCGGUGUUUUGUGUGUCAGCUGAUUCUUGCAAGUAACUAUGAGCAGCUGAAUCUUAAUCAACACCAAGAUAUGGAGGUUGUUUUAGAGAAAAAAGACGCUGCUGAUUGGGUUUACAGAGGCGAAGGCGCUGCCAAUCUUGUUCUCGGUUACAGCGGAUCCGCCCCCGCUUUUAUUGGGAAAGUAAUGCGUCUACAGAAAGCUCCAAUUAAUGGGUCAAAGUCCAUGAACAGUCCCACUGCAUUAACCGUGCAUGAACGUCUUCUGUGGAAGGACACGGAGGACAUUGUAGCUACCUCUAACAAAGAACUUGCUUGCCAACUGUUUGUGAAGCACAUCAUGAGCCCUCUAUUGGGUUCCACACACGUUGAUUCUGGGAUGCGUGUCCCUGCUUCCAAAGAAUUCUUGGAGUUGGUUGAGAAGAACGUAAUUUGUCAGCGUCCUGCUUCUCGAGUUGAUGCUGCCAAAGUUGACACACAAUGUGAUUCUGUGCUUCUCAUGUCUGAUCAUUCUCUUUUUCCUCGUGGUACUCAUGAAGUUGAACCCUGUAUAUCUGUGGAGAUAAAGCCAAAAUGUGGAUUUCUGCCAUCCUCAAAGUUCAUUGAUGAAGGAAAUGCCAUUAAACGGAGCAUUACUCGUUUUCGGAUGCACCAAGCUCUGAAGUUGCAUCAAGGAGAGGUAUCAGAAUAUAGUGAAUAUAAUCCACUUGAUCUGUUCUCUGGAUCCAAGGACAGAAUACAUAAAGCUAUCAGGGAUCUCUUCUCAACCCCGCAGAAUAACUUCCGUGUAUUCUUGAAUGGUUCUCAAAUAUUUGGGGGCUUAGGUGGUGGUGCAGACAGUACCGAUUUUGUGACUCGGGGAAAAUUUGAAGAUGCACUCAAGUGUGUUAUUCAGGGAGGUGAUGGCUUGCGCACAAUGAGUUUUCUACUGCUUGUUGCUGAGACCGUUCAUAAAUCUGGAGUGUUGGAUCGGCUCCUUGAGGUCACGAAACUUGAUAAUCUUGACAUUGAUGGGGCUAUCCAUGCAUAUUAUGACAUUGUUUCGGAGCCUUGCAGGGUAUGUAGAGCAUCCGGUAAAGAAAAAAUGUCACAGAGAUAUCUUUCAUUGCAUUCCAUCUCUUUGGAUGAAAGCUUGAAGAUUGUGAAGGAUUUUUUGAUAGCUGCUACUGCAAAGGACUGCAGUUUGAUGAUUAGUUUUAGACCAAGGAAAGAUGGGAAUCCAGGAUCUCCAUAUGAUAAUUUGUAUCUAGAUUCAACCAACCAAUUUUUUGAUUACAAGGUGAAUUUCAUUGACCUGGAUUUGAAACAGUUGAAGAAAAUGGAAGAAUAUUAUGAGUUGGAUAAAAAAAUAGUAAGCUACUACAAUCAAAUGGUGGAAACUGAGGAAAGACAAAAGAAAAAUACAAGCACAAUGGCUCUUAAAACUGCAAAUUGAAAUUUGUUGCUGUGCCAUGGAAGAUACUUUACUUCAAAUUAUGAGUAAACGUAAGGAUCUUACAGUUUUGAUUUUCAACAAUGGAACCAAACACAUUUAGUUUUGAGCAGUAACUUAUGACAUUUUCCACUUGUCUGAUGUACAAAGUGUGAUUUGGAGUUUGUUUUUGUAACUACAUUGCCAAACCACGAACAUUCAAAAGAAAUGACUUGGAAGAAUCAAUGAACCUGAUGCUGGAACAUGUUUCUAGACCAGGUGGUAAGACUAAUAUGGAAGGCUCUGUGAACUCUGGUUGUUCAGCUUUGAUAUUUUGAUCAGCAUAUAUGUGGAAUAUAAAGGCCGUGGGUUGGCUACAUCAUGUGCUGAACAAUGAGCUCCUGUGCUGUCAAUAGGUCUCUCUCUCUCUCUCUCUCUCUCUCUCUCUCUCUCUCUCUCUCUCUCUCCCUCUCUGUUUGUUUGUGUGGAUCUAAUCCUGUUAAAGUUGAUGAUUCAAGUACGGGAAAGAAGGAAUUAAUACGUUCCAGAAGUGGGUCAAGUUUGCCCUCAACUGAUCCCGCUAAAGCUGAAUUGAGAAACUGAUUGCCAUUACUAUAUCCCAAUACAUUGCAUAAUGUCAGGUCUUCUUUAUUUUCUUGGAGACAUCCUGAGCUAAAACCUCAUUUGUUGGUUUGUUCAAAAUCUUUGUUUUCUUCAGUGAAUCAGCAUGUUUACUUCUAGUAAAAUUUGCUACAAGCUGACACACCUGUGUGUACAAACAGGCGAAUGGGCAAGCUUGUCAGAGUCAGGCAGGCCUGCAUCAUUUUAACUUUGCUAUAAAAUGUCUCAUUUCUUUUAAGAUAAAGAGGAUGUGCAUUGUAGAAAGGGACUAUGGAAGCGAACGGAGGGGUGUAAGUAAACCAUCAAAGUCAGCCUACGGAAGUUCCAAUAACUGAAAAUUUUGAUAAUUUUCAUCAAAAAUCAGCCUUGAGAACUUACAGAGACAUGAUGAAUUUCGAAGGUCUACUGAGCUUUUGAUUUACAAACAUUGAUGAGUACCCUUAUUUUUUGUUUUGUAAGCAGAAACUUCGUGAGCACCUUAUUUUUAAGGUACAGGCAACAUCGACUGUAUAUAUAACUAAUCUACUGGUGUAUUGAUCAUUUGCAAAACUUCCUUUGUGUCAUUAAUUUGUAAAAUGUACUCUGAGGAACUGGUGAAU